rnacentral:rRNA from 1 species
GAUGAACGCUAGCGGCAGGCCUAACACAUGCAAGUCGAGGGGUAACUAGAGUGAUAGCAAUAUUACUUUGGCUAGACCGGCGCACGGGUGCGUAACACGUAUGCAACCUACCUUAUACUGGGGGAUAACUUCGAGAAAUCGGCGCUAAUACCCCAUAACAUUGUGAAGAGGAAUCUCUUUGCAAUUAAAGCUCCGGCGGUAUAAGAUGGGCAUGCGUCCAAUUAGCUAGUUGGUGAGGUAACGGCUCACCAAGGCUACGAUUGGUAGGGGUUCUGAGAGGAUGGUCCCCCACACUGGUACUGAGACACGGACCAGACUCCUACGGGAGGCAGCAGUGAGGGAUAUUGCGCAAUGGACGAAAGUCUGACGCAGCCAUGCCGCGUGCAGGAUGACGGCCCUAUGGGUUGUAAACUGCUUUUGUACGGGAAUAAACCCUUCUACGUGUAGGAGGCUGAAGGUACCGUAAGAAUAAGCACCGGCUAACUCCGUGCCAGCAGCCGCGGUAAAAC